AACGAACGUUAGCGGCGCGCUUAACACAUGCAAGUCGAACGAGAAAGGGCUUCGGCCCCGGUACAGUGGCGCACGGGUGAGUAACACGUAGGUAAUCUUCCCUCGGAUGGCGGAUAACCCCUCGAAAGGGGGGCUAAUACGGCGUAUGACCACGACCCCGAAAGGGGAUGAGGUAAAAGCGGGCCUCUGUAUACAAGCUCGCGUCUGAGGAUGAGCCUGCGGCCCAUCAGCUAGUUGGUAGGGUAACGGCCUACCAAGGCAACGACGGGUAGCUGGUCUGAGAGGAUGAUCAGCCACAAUGGAACUGAGACACGGUCCAGACUCCUACGGGAGGCAGCAGUGGGGAAUUUUGCGCAAUGGGCGAAAGCCUGACGCAGCGACGCCGCGUGGGUGAUGAAGGCCUUCGGGUUGUAAAGCCCUGUGGGGAGGGAAGAAUAAAGGACGGCGAAUACCCGUCCCGAUGACGGUACCUCCUUAGCAAGCACCGGCUAACUCUGUGCCAGCAGCCGCCGUAACAC
rnacentral:rRNA from 1 species